rnacentral:rRNA from 1 species
UACGUAGGGUGCGAGCGUUAAUCGGAAUUACUGGGCGUAAAGCGCACGUAGGCGGAUUUGUCAGUCAGGGGUGAAAUCCCGGGGCUCAACCUCGGAACUGCCUUUGAUACAGCAAGUCUUGAGUUCGAGAGAGGUGGGUGGAAUUCCUGGUGUAGCGGUGAAAUGCGCAGAUAUCAGGAGGAACACCGGUGGCGAAGGCGGGUCGCUGGGACGUAACUGACGCUGAGACGCGAAAGCGUGGGGAGCAAACAGG